rnacentral:rRNA from 1 species
UACGGAAGGCAGCAGUGGGGAAUAUUGCACAAUGGGCGCAAGCCUGAUGCAGCCAUGCCGCGUGUAUGAAGAAGGCCUUCGGGUUGUAAAGUACUUUCAGUCGUGAGGAAGGUGUUAAGGUUAAUAACCUUAGCAAUUGACGUUAGCGACAGAAGAAGCACCGGCUAACUCCGUGCCAGCAGCCGCGGUAAUACGGAGGGUGCGAGCGUUAAUCGGAAUUACUGGGCGUAAAGGGCACGCAGGCGGUUAAUUAAGUUGGAUGUGAAAUCCCCGGGCUUAACCUGGGAAUGGCAUUCAAGACUGGUUAGCUAGAGUCUUGUAGAGGGGGUAGAAUUCCAUGUGUAGCGGUGAAAUGCGUAGAGAUGUGGAGGAAUACCGGUGGCGAAGGCGGCCCCUGGGACAAAGACUGACGCUCAUGUGCGAAAGCGUGGGGAGCAAACGAGGAUUAGAUA